rnacentral:sRNA from 2 species
ACACCCGCUGUUGUUGCGCCAUGGGUUGCGAUCGAGCUUAGCCUCGUUCAUUUUUUUAUACAACAACCCGUUAAAGAUAGAAGACAGGCUGUGGCAGCGCGCAUUUAACGCCGGCCAAAAACAGGAAAAAACGCCCUAAAUAGCAGCAAAAAAGGCCAAAUGGCGCAGUUUUAGGGCAA